AGUCGAACGCCCUCUUCGGAGGGAGUGGCGCACGGGUGCGUAACGCGUGGGAACCUGCCUUUAGGUUCGGAAUAACUCAGAGAAAUUUGAGCUAAUACCGGAUAAUGUCUUCGGACCAAAGAUUUAUCGCCUUUAGAUGGGCCCGCGUUGGAUUAGCUAGUUGGUGGGGUAAAGGCCUACCAAGGCGACGAUCCAUAGCUGGUCUGAGAGGAUGAUCAGCCACACUGGGACUGAGACACGGCCCAGACUCCUACGGGAGGCAGCAGUGGGGAAUAUUGGACAAUGGGCGAAAGCCUGAUCCAGCAAUGCCGCGUGAGUGAUGAAGGCCUUAGGGUUGUAAAGCUCUUUUACCAGGGAUGAUAAUGACAGUACCUGGAGAAUAAGCUCCGGCUAACUCCGUGCCAGCAGCCGCGGUAAUACGGAGGGAGCUAGCGUUGUUCGGAAUUACUGGGCGUAAAGCGCGCGUAGGCGGCUUAUCAAGUCAGGGGUGAAAUCCCGGGGCUCAACCCCGGAACUGCCCUUGAAACUGGUUGGCUAGAAUCCUGGAGAGGCGAGUGGAAUUCCGAGUG
rnacentral:rRNA from 1 species